rnacentral:rRNA from 1 species
CGUAGGGUGCGAGCGUUAAUCGGAAUUACUGGGCGUAAAGCGUGCGCAGGCGGUUUUGUAAGACAGAUGUGAAAUCCCCGGGCUCAACCUGGGACCUGCAUUUGUGACUGCAAGGCUAGAGUACGGUAGAGGGGGAUGGAAUUCCGCGUGUAGCAGUGAAAUGCGUAGAUAUGCGGAGGAACACCGAUGGCGAAGGCAAUCCCCUGGACCUGUACUGACGCUCAUGCACGAAAGCGUGGGGAGCAAACAGGAUUAGCUACCCUGGUAGUCCACGCCCUAAACGAUGUCAACUGGUUGUUGGGUCUUUACUGACUCAGUAACGAAGCUAACGCGUGAAGUUGACCGCCUGGGGAGUACGGCCGCAAGGUUG